UACGGAGGGGGCUAGCGUUGUUCGGAAUUACUGGGCGUAAAGCGCACGUAGGCGGCUUUGUAAGUUAGAGGUGAAAGCCCCCGGCUCAACUGGGGAGGGUCACGCGAUACUGAUCGACUCGAAGGCAGGAGAGGGAAGUGGAAUUCCCGGUGUAGUGGUGAAAUGCGUAGAUAUCGGGAGGAACACCAGUGGCGAAGGCGACUUCCUGGCCUGUUCUUGACGCUGAGGCGCGAAAGCUAGGGGAGCAAACGGG
rnacentral:rRNA from 1 species